CCCUGCAGCUGGCGGUGGGUGGGGCCGCCGCUUUCCUCUGCCGACCGAGGCUGCUGACGGGAAAAGCCAUCCGAGAGGGAGCGCCCCCGCCCAGAUUCCCUCCACCCUGAACGUCUGCGGGGUUUUAGGGCCGAGUAAACCAAGCGAAGCUCAGGGCCGUGUUAUAGACCCAUGUGGAGAUUUUCAGAUUGGCCUUCGAGGCUCCUUUCUGCCAACUACCGGCUCUGUGACCACAGGCGUCGCUUAGCCUGGCCUGUUUCCGCACUCUUCGAGAGGCUUGCGGCCUGCGAGUAGCCACGAAGAAAAGAGUUCACGACCCAAUCACUACCUGCCUACUGUUACAGAGGCCUCUGACCAUUGAAGGAAAGCUGACUUCGCUGCUCAGAUGACAAGUUCCAGGUCCCCCAGGGAAAGUGCAGGAGCGGGAGCCUGAACCGGCAUUCUGGACUCAACCACGUGUGCCCACGUUACCCGUGACAGUCUGAUUGGCCGUCACCCGUUGAGAAGAACCAAUGGCCACUGGACUGAACCCUCCCCUGUAUUUGUUCAGGAGCUCUCAGAGUUCUCAUUCCUCAGGGAAGCACUUUCAGAAUCAACCUGACUCCUAGUUCCUUGAAGGAGGAGAAGAGGCCUAGCUCACCUUUGUAACCCCAGUCCCUGGGGCUGCAUACCUGGCGGACAGGUGCUUAGUACACGCUGGCCGGAAGAACAAGUGAAAGGGCCCCAGCACAGCGCCUUUGCUGCGGCACGCCAGGCACUUUCAUGCCGUCGCCCAUGCUGACUCCCCUCCCAGGCUGCCCCCUUGCUGCUGCGUCUCCUCAUUAGCUCAGAGGUCACCUCCUCAUCAAGUCGGAGCUCAAGUCCUCUGACGCCCCAGCCCCCGCGCAGGGCUGCCUGCCUGCUUCUCGUGUGCCCCGUGAGACGGGCUUCGUUCUGGCGGACGGGCCCCAGUACUUUUCCUGCUGUAUCCUGUUGUUAGAGGUCUGCUGCUUUCUGCAUAGAUCGCAGUAUCCUAGAGGGCCUCUUCUGUGAUUCCAACACAGGCUAAGGAACACAGACCUUCAGGCACUGUCUGCCCCGGUCCUCCUACAAUCCAGCCAGCGCGGUUCCCGUCACAGCAAGCACUUCCUCUGUCAGAGCAGACAAACCGACUCAAGCCACAGCCGGAAGCACGCUGACCACAAGUGCUAAGGUUCUGGUUCAACUGAAGAGGCAGUUCUAAGAAAGACAGCUGAGAUCAUCAGUUACCUUCUCAGACAAAGUCCACUGGUGGUAGAGUUUUGUUUACCAUGUAAACAACGCAGCAUUUAUGGCUAAACCCCUUAUUCUUUCACAGGCAGACUAAAGAAUUGCGAGGUUUUUUUUUUUUUUUGGUGGGGUCAUGAGGAUAAAAGACUGAAGAUCAGUCCUGGGAAGAUAGACCUGUAAGCCACAGAGUCUCCUCUACCCUUCAGAAUCCCCUUGGGAAGAUUCAGGCGUGCAGAGAUGGUCCUUUCCAAGCAAAUGUCAUAGGCACUGCACCUUCUCUUACCAAGCAAGACAGACUGGAUUUCCCAGAGUGCCUGGGGAUGAUGAGAGUGACCCCAAGAGGGGCGGGGCAGCCUGGAAACAGACUCUUGGCUUCAUGUAUCUAAAGCCCCCAGAAAAUGCCUGGAAGAGGGUGGAGGAGGAAGACCAAAGAUAAUCCUUAACUCUUCUACAGCAGGAAUAUAUUACACUCAAUAAACUUUAAAUGUUUGCCUCUCUUAUGAGCGAAGGUGAUUGUGUGUGUGCUCAGCUAUGUCCUAUUCUUUGCAACCCCCGUGGACUGUAGUCCACAAAGCUCCUCUGUCCAUGGGAGUCUCCAGGCAAGAAUACUGGAGUG